rnacentral:rRNA from 1 species
UGGUGGAGCGAUUCGUCUGGUCAAUUCCGAUAACGAACGAGACUCUAGCCGACUAAAUAGUUCGGGGACCCCCACAAAGGGGCCCCGCUUCAACUUCUUAGAGGGACAGGUGGCGUUUAGCCACACGAGAUUGAGCAAUAACA